CUAGUACUCCCUCCGUCUGGAAAUACUUGUCCGAGGAAUGGAUGUAUCUAGAUGUAUUUUAGUUUUAGAUACAUCCAUUUAUAUCCAUUUCUACGACAAGUAUUUCCGGACGGAGGGAGUAGUUG
rnacentral:pre_miRNA from 1 species